rnacentral:rRNA from 1 species
UCUAGGGAUUAGAUUUUGAAGUUGAAUUUAAUGGAUCUGGCGGUUUUUAAAUCUUUUUAGAGGAACCUGUUAUUUAAAUGAUAGUCCACGAUUAAUAUUACUUUUAUUUUCUUGUAUACCUCUGUCGUUGAAUGUAAUUUUGUUUUAUUUUCUUUUUUUUUAUUUUAUUUUAUGUUAGGUCAAGGUGCAGUUAUAUAGAUGUUUUAAUGGGUUACUUUUAUUUUUGUUUUUGGAUAGGGGUUAAGAUGUUUUUUUGAAAUUGGAUUUAAAAGUAAUUUUAUUUAUUUAAUUUUUUGAAUUUUGCUCUUAAUUAUGU